rnacentral:rRNA from 1 species
UACAGAGGUCUCAAGCGUUGUUCGGAUUCAUUGGGCGUAAAGGGUGCGUAGGUGGCGGGGUAAGUCAGGUGUGAAAUUUCGGAGCUUAACUCCGAAACUGCAUUUGAUACUGCCUUGCUUGAGGACUGGAGAGGAGACUGGAAUUCACGGUGUAGCAGUGAAAUGCGUAGAGAUCGUGAGGAAGACCAGUGGCGAAGGCGGGUCUCUGGACAGUUCCUGACACUGAGGC